UCUCAUCCGUGAGCUGCUUCCAUGCUGGUUUUGUCAUUGGGAUUCAGGAUCUUUCCUGUGGACUACUUGUUAGCAUGUUGUGUUUGGAUGUGUACAUUUCUCCCUGCUUAAUUUUUCUUCUUUCAGUCCUUCAGCCACUCUGCAGUCCUGGAAUCUAUUGGCACUUUCACACAGGGACACAUGAAGGGGAUGAGUGGUGACUGCAUGAAGAUACUUCUAAUCCGAUUUAGAAGCAACAACAAGGCUGGAGAAGAGCUCAGGAGAGGCCCAGAGACAGGACUGGAGACCACAUUGGAAGGACAACCCUGCAAAUUUCUGGGGGAUGAGCAGUCCUGCAUCUCAUAAGUGGUAUUCCCCAGGGGUUCAUCUUGGGACCGGUACUCUUUAAUAUCUUUAUCAACAACAUAGACAGUGGGAUGGAGCGCACCCUCAGCAGUUUGCUGAUGACACCGAGCUGAGUGGUGCAGUUCAUACAACAGAAGGAAGGGACGCCAUCCAGAGGGCACUGCACAGGCUCAGAAAGUGGGCACGUGAGAACUGAAUGAAGUUUAACAAGGCCAAGUGAAAGGUGCUGCACAUGGGUCAGGGCAGUCCCAGACAUGAGGACAGAACGGAAAAGAACUCCAAAGCAAUCCUUUCCUCAGAGGGCGGUGAGGCGCUGGCACUGCUGCCCAGAGAGCUGUGGGUGCCCCAUCCCUGCAGGCACUCAAGGCCAGGUGGGAUGGGGCCCUGGGCAGCCUGAGCUGGUGGGGGGCAGCCCUGCCCAUGGCCAGGGAUUGGGAAUGGGUCAUCUUUAUUGUCCCCUCCAACCUGAGCCAGCCUAUGAUUCUAUGAGACUACAAUUUGCUCAUCCUACUGCUGUGGGUUGUUGGGGUCUUACCACGGGCUGCAGCAUUCAAUGCCAAGAACAGCUUUUAACAAAUUUAAGUUGAAUUCCAUUAAAUUAAAAAUACAUAAAGC
ensembl:lncRNA